CCGGUGUGGUCGUCUCACUCGUCUGUGUUGUGUCCAGCGAGAUUUGUUUGUUUUUUUCAUUCGUAGUAGUUAUUUUCAAAUUUCCUGGGCACUCCGACCAUCCAAGAGUAAGGUGGACGUCAGGUGCAGGUCCUCCGCUGUGCCGCUGCUGACUUGUAUGUGGAAGCUGCUGAAGUGACGAUCAUGAGGAAGGAAACUGGAGUGACGAUACGUCGAGAGCUGCACACCAUGACUGGUAGUGUGU